rnacentral:misc_RNA from 1 species
AAUCCUGCCUGAUUUGAGAUCUAAUCAAAAGGUAGACUUUUAAAUUAGGAGCUUCCUUAAUGAAGUUGGCUCGAUGUUUCCACCGAAUCCUUAGCGAAUAGUCUAUUACGCCAAGUCAAUCCAAACUUGUAUUAGGGAUGCUAAUGUAUUACGAACGAGCUAGGCCGAAGCCAGCAGCGCUCAAAAUCCAAACACCAAUCGAUUACAAGAAAAGAUUGGGUUGAAGAAUUCAUGACACUCGAACAGACAUGCUCUCCGGAAUACCAGAGAGCGCAAGAUGCGUUCAAAGAUUCGAUGAUUCACUGAAUUCUGCAAUCCACAUUACGUAUCGCAUUUCGCUGCGUUCUUCAUCGAUGCGAGAGCCAAGAGAUCCGUUGUUGAAAGUUUUUAUUUGUUAUAAAAAUUUUACAUUCAUAGACUAGUGUUUAUAAGUGAAGGCUCACAAUCCGAAGACUGCUCGCCAUAAUACAGAUGCACAAAGUUAGAAUUGAGAAGUUCGGGUUCCAAGUUAAAUUGGACACCCUUGUUUUCAAUAAUGAUCCUUCCGCAGGUUCACCUACGGAAACCUUGUUACGACUUUUACUUCCUCUAAAUGACCAAGUUCGUACAACUUCUCGGCAGUCAGAUUCCCUCGCGGGAUUCUAAUAGCCAAUCCGGAGGCCUCACUAAGCCAUUCAAUCGGUAGUAGCG